AUGGACAGUCUGACAGAACAGAGACUGACAUCUCCCAAUCUGCCGGCCCCCCACCUGGAACACUACAGUGUUCUGCAUUGCACCAUGACCCUGGAUGUGCAAACUGUAGUCGUUUUUGCCGUGAUUGUAGUCCUCCUGCUUGUCAAUGUCAUACUCAUGUUUUUCCUGGGAACGCGCUGAAUGGAGUCCAGCCACCUGAGCUGUCGCGAACUCUCGCUUUGAUUUCAUCCCAAGAGCCACCGAGAAAAAAAAAUCAGAGACAGAGAGAGACAGGGAAAGAGAGAGAAAGAACAAUCUUUCUACUCAGGGGGGAAAACGUUUUGAGCUUCAACAUGGCCUCGCUGUGAUAUGUAUGACGUUGGUAUAUUAUCUCUCCCUAAAUCUUUUGUCAUGUCUUGUGUUUUAAGUAUGCUUGUGCAUAUAUUUGCCUAUUGCUUGAGUGAAAUUGUUGAUAAAGAAAUGCUUUCUAUUUAAGUGUGCAUGCGUGUGUGCAUUUUAAAUAUGUGUGGCGUUCAUUGGAGCAAGCUCUGUGUCCUUAAACAGUGGCUUUGUUGUUUGUGGUGUCUUCUCAACUCAUUUCCUUGAAGACUACCUUUAAACUCCAUUAGGGAAUUUUAGUCAAAAUUUCUCUCUUGCCAUCAGGAGUGCAUUUUGGUUUGUUUGGGGGGGAAAGGGAUUUGUGGAAGAGCAUGAUGAAUGUUUGACAUCAUAGGAAAGACAGUCUUUGCACUGGAUAUUUAGAGGGAAAAGAAUGCAAGGAAUGGAUUUAGGGAAAAUGAUUCUUUAGUCUCUAAUGAGAAGCAAGAAUUUGGGAAGUGACACGGGUGUGUUGUGCUGGUAGUUGAUGACUGUGUCCUUUGAAUUUCAAUUUGCUCUCCAGGGUUCACAAUUUUCAAUUUUGAAAGAAGCCACCUUUAAAACAUGUCUUAAACCUUAAAGCUUUAAGACAUUUAAAAUGUCAUUUUCUUUGGAAUCAUGGAAUAGUACAUAAGAGCAUUCUCUGAUUUUUUGAAUUGGCAAGAGAGGACUUUGACAAGAGCUAUUUGGGCUCCCUUUACCAAAUAUUGUACUCCUGGAUUUGAGUUUGGGGAUUUUGUCUGUCUCAUCAAAAAAGAAAAAAGAAAAAACAAACCCCAAAACCAUCUCUUUAUCCACCUUGGGAAUAAUAGUAUUUGGAUAUGGCUCCUUUGGGGUAAUCUCAUUUGCAAUGUUGUUCCUGAACUACAUUUUAAAUAUAACUUGAUAAGGCUGAUGAGAAAGUGGGGAUGUUAUUGUUUGCUCCUUUGUUACUUUAAGAUAAGAAGUCUCUGUAAUUGAAACAUUCCCAUAACAAACUGAAAGUCUGUAAUGUGCUAAAUUAAGAGUUGUCAAAUUUUGGUGCUAAAUUUGAGCACCAAAACCCAAAAACGUCUAGAUGGAAUGGGAUGAGAGCAUGGAAAACAUGAGCUGAAAGCAACAUUCCAGUUUGAGAUAUGACUGCUUAUCUGUAUCCGAUGGUAGUGGUAGUUGCUGUUAUUAUUGCUAUUGCUAUUAUUUUUUCUGUUUCCUCUGAGAAAGUUCUUGGCAGAGCCAGGAAAAAAUGUCUUGGAUGCCAGUCUGAUGAUACUUGUUUGUUUGUUUUUUUCUCCCCUGUUAAUGUAGGCAGGCCCUUCCCAUUCCAUUGCUUACCUGGCUUGAAAUAAUGCCAUUUAUGCCUCAUGUAUUAUAUUAGUGAGUCAGGGCACAUACACAUCCACACACAUGCUCCCCCUCCACCCAUGUGGGUGGCUGUUCAUGUCUGAUGUGCAAAUCUGCUGGCAUUAUGCUGUCAAGUUCCAUGUCUGGUUGUCAGUCUCUUUGGAAAUGAUUAUGAAAGGAGAGGGGCUGUGAAGGGGGCCCUUGAAAUUGUCCUGGCCACAGGACCCAGAGAUAUUAUUUAAUGGCGUCAGAGGGGGUUUCGGGCCUCAAAGCAUGCUAUCGUUGACUUGGUGUGGGUGAGAAGUUGCAGUUUUUGGGGGAUUUGUACCACAGUAUAAACAUGAUCUGGGAAGUUUGCUGGCAUUGAUUCUUAUUAAUUAUUCUUUGAUCCCUUUGUGAGGACCCCCUGGGUGGAACUGAGAACGUAUUUCUUUGCAAAGAUAAUUUAGUGAGUUUAUUUUUUCCUUAGCUCCAGUGUAUUAUUUAAAGUAAGAUUAUAUCUUGUCCAGGCACUUUGUUUUGAUACAGUGUUGGAGAUUGGGGAAUGGCUCUAUGCUGGGGAGCUGCAGACUGGUUUUCUUUUUUUUUUUUUUUUUUUUUCUUUUUCCAUUCAGCAGCUGUUUGACCUUGGGCAGUUUUCUUCCUCCUGGGUGGGUUUGGGAUUACCAGUAAUAUUGGCAUUUUGUGAUGGCUCAACUAGGUUACAUCCAAGUUGUUGCAUUUUAUGAUUUUAUGACACCUAAGCACUUGAAGUCAGAGGGCGAUGAACUGUAAAGACAAGUGAAAAGGAAAGCAAAAUGUUAAUCAAAGGAUGAUGGGAGGAGGUGAAGGAUAUCUGGUACUGGAGUCUGGAUAACGAGUUUAACCUAAGGGAUUUUUUUGUCUAGCUGUUUGGGAAGGAAAGUGGGACAGCAAUAAGGGAAUGCCUUUUGACUUUUUUUCCCCCAAGGGGGAAGGGGUCUCUGAGACUAGUCUUUGAUCCAGGUUUAUGACUAAGUAGUGUCACGAAAUGCCUUCUCCUCUGUGAGCCUGACAGACCUUUGGCAGAAAGCCUCUGGGAGUGAGUGAGUGAGUGUGUGUGUGUGUGUGUGUAUGUGUAGGGUGUGUGGCAGCAUGUUCAUGUGUGUGUGUGUGUGUGUGUGGGAGCACACUCCUGAGUGUGGAUGUGGGGUGUAGUGGUAGGAAUGAGGAAAGACAGUAUUGAGUUCCACAGUUCUGAAUGGCCUCCUUGUGCUAGAGCCUGUAAGGAUUUCACAAGUGCUGGGAUAGUUGGGUAUCACCCAUGCCAGUCCUCUUUUCACCACCUAAAACCCCUCAGGCUAGAGAAGUGUCUUGAAUGAGCCCUUCCAUUAGUAAUUUAGCUGUUGAAAUGGGUUAGCACUUUUUAAAUUGUCUCCAGGCAAAUAAAGGGAUGUUGCUAGCCAGAUGGCAGGCCACCCUCUAGCAACCAGAAGGGAAUUUGAGAGUAGAGAACAAAGGUAGCAGUGUGACUUUUUACUUGUGUGAAUCCUAAAGGUUUGGUAUUUGUCCUUCAGAUUUGUGAGGAUAUUUUUCUCUAGCAAAAAGAGAAAAGACGGGGAGAAAAUGAGAAAUGCAGCCCAGAGGAGUGGAACCCUAUGCAUUUUGACUUGUAUUCUUUUUUCCUUCCUCCUCUGCCUUCUCUGUUAAUCUUUCUCCUUCUCCCUUUCUGCCCACCCCUGACACCACCUCCUUCUCCUCCUCCUACUUCCCCACUGUAAAUGGGUGAGAAGUAAGAAAGAGAAGGCUUUUCCUCUCUGAUUUUUCCCAACUUUUCCUAGUAAAGCUCUUCAUUCCCUUCCCUCCUCUCUGAUACCUUUGAGCAGAGGAUAAGCUUUUGCUACGUAGGAGGGGCAAAACCCCAGCUUAAGGAUUUGGCUCUCAGAUCCCCGUCAAGGAAUUAAAGAAAAUGCCCUCUAGUUGUAUCCUAGCAACCCCUGUAUCACUGAGCACCCACUGAGCUCCAGAGCCCACCCUUCAAAGGCCCAGGCACCAACACCUCUAGAGAAAGGGGCUGACGUCUAGCGGGACUUGGAGAGAUGCUUUUGGGGAGGGGACAAAGAAAGAACAAAAUCCUAAUUUCCUGCAAAUGCCUAAGAAACAUGUCCACAGCAGACAUAGAGAGCCUAGCCUCAUCCAGCUAUGAGAUUAUUAGAAAACUCUUGGGUUCAACUUCCUUUCUAGUCAGUCCCAUCUCCUUAAGAUUAACUGUGCCAUUUCACUGCCUAGCUUAGUGCCAGAAGCUCUGCAGGCCCUGAAAAAACAAUUUUUUUUCACCCUAACUUUUGCUGCAUCAGGGAGGGGGUGAAGUGAUAUCCUGUGGGAACAAACUGAACAGCACUCUUCUUCCAGUGAGACAGCCUCCAUCUGUCAGAACCUACAGUGUGCUUGUGCAGUGUGCCCCAAUUUUGCUUGGGGAAUCCUGAUCAGCCUAGCUUUAUGGAAUUUGGGAAUUUUUCCUUCUGUGGUUUUGGUAUAGUAGUUUCUGAGGAGGGAGGCUGGACAAGUUGAAAGAGCAAGUUUGAUAAUGGAGCUAGUGAAUAGGGCUUGGGCCCUGGCUCAGAGUCUCUCACCCACCAAUGUGUGUGAUUAAGCUGCUAGGGAGCUGAAGGAUCCCAGCAAGGCUGUAGGUGAGGUGCUCUUCUGCCUUUGAGGUAAGGCCCAGAUUGUGAGCAGCCAGAGAGCACAGUCUGGUAGUUUGAGGGAUAGUGCCAAAGCAUGUCUUGCUCUUUAGCCUUUGUCUGCCAUCUCAGCCUCUGGUCCCUUGGCCUGCAGAGUGCUUGAUGCAGGCAGGGAUGUGAGAAUUGAGCCUUUUCUCCCAAAAUAACUGCCUCCUCAGAAGACCUCCUACAAGGCAUCUGGAUCUAGCUCCAAUGGCUUUGCCCCAAGAAAUGGGAUGGAGGAGGGGAAUCUUGGACUCCUUAGCUCUUAUUUCCAGCUCUGCAACUUGUUCUAGGCCAGCUGAGUCUCUGGCUUUCCAAGAAUCCUUGAUGAAAGUUUAGCUUCUCCAAUAUCUGCCCAGAAUGUCUCCUUUUGUCCUUAGGUGAAUCUAGCUCUGUAGAGUAUUUAGUUUAUUGUCCUUUGCUCUAGCACCAAAGUACAAAGGGGAAAAACUAGAAGGGGAAGAAACUAGAGGGGAGAGAAGGCUCAGGAAGCAGUCCAGUAGUGACAGUACUAAUCAGUGCAUGAGUUUACAAAGGAAAUUCACAUCCUUUCUUUUGAGCAUCACAUCAGCCUUGUGAAGUGGGUAGAGAUGAUUAUUAUUUCCAGUCUUACAGAUGAGGAAAGUAAAGGUCAGCAAGAUGUUGGGAUGGGAGUGGGUCUGCCUUUCAAAUAGAAAGGAGCGUCAGAGUUGAUCAUUGUUAGCUAGUCUGAAGUUGAAAGUAGGGAGGGGGAUUUGUGAGUCAUCCCUGAAGUCAUACUAGCUUCCUCAGCUAUUCACAUUUUUAGUGCUUUUUAAUAACUUUCAUUUGUAUAGCACUUUUGCUCAGAAUUUUCAUUCUAUAAAAUGCUAUCUUUUUGUCUUGAAUAUACAUCGAAGAGUUCUAUUUAGUUUUAUGAAAACUCACUAUUUGGGAUCUUCAAGGUGAAAGGCCAGUGUGCAUUGCUGUAGCCUAAAAUACAGAAUGUUUUGAAGGAACUGUAGUUUUCAUACAAUUGUUCUUCUCUUUGAAGCACACUUAUUUUUAUAUAUUUCUUUAAAAAUGUGCUGCCCAGAACUGUUCAUGAUACUCCAGGUGCCACCUGACUGAGAUGAAGUACAAAAGAACUUUGAUCUAUCUGUGAAAUGUCUAAUAAUGCAGCCUUCUACUGAUUCUCAACCCUCACUGAACAUUCAGAUCACUUGGGAAGCUUUUUUUAAAUUCUCAUGCCAGGUCUCCUAUCUGAGAGAUUCUGAUUUAAUUUUCAUGGGCUAGAUCCCAAGCCGCUUUAUUUAUUUGUUUUUUAUUUUAAAGUUCCCCGAGGUGAUUCAAAUGUGCAGCCAGGGUGAAGAGUUACUGCCUGAGCCUUUUGAGCAUGUACGUCCAAACCCUUUCCUGUCUAGUCCAGUCCUCUACUUUCUUGUGAAGUUGGCCACUUUAGGUUGUUUCCAACCAAAGUUGUUACAUUUUAUUUUGUUAUGUUAGUCCAUUGUUCUAGUUUUCUGUGAAUUUUAAAUUUUUCAUCAUGCUGUGCAACAAAUUAGCAUUGUGCAACAAAUUAGUCCCUUCUAGCAUUGUAUCAGUUAAACUCUAGUUUGGUUGGUUGGACUAUUGUUCUAGCCUUUGGAUUUUGUUAAAUUUUUUUUCUUCAUGUCAUACAACAGGAUAGCAGCCUCUUCUAGUGUAGCAUUAUUUGAACACUGAAUAAAUGUCAUUUGAGUUGUUGAUUCAAAAAAAUAUCACUAUGAUAUGAUUAAUGCUAGUUCCUAUGUCACCUCACCAGAGCCCCUCUUGGAGUUGGGACUUGUUAAUUUUUGUAUGUAUGUGGUCAAUCAGUGCAGAGUGCACCUGGGUGUGCCAGCAUUUAUCUACCGAGGUGUUAAUGUGAAUAACAUAGCAUGAUAGAUUUGUUCUAUGCUUUGUGGGCAUCAAGAUUUGCUGGGUUCAUAGCAAUCAUCUGCCAAACUUAAAGACCCAUCAGAAAAAGGAGUGUAAUUUACCUGGCCUGUUUCUCCUGGUAAAUCUGGUUGCAGGCUCCAGAGCUUCUUGUUUUCUUUCUGUGCCUACAAACCGAAUGUUUCUAAAGUGGGUUCAGAAUUUGGCUGAGGUCAGUACUACAACUGUAGUUUCUGUGUAUUACUUUAUCCUCUUUGAACAAGCAGGACAUCAUGGAUUUAGCUUUAAAACAGAAUAUAUUUUGUGCUCAAAGAGUUUCGAAAACUCUUUGUGCCUGUUUCUCUUGUUGUUUUGCUUAAUUGUUUCCAUUAACCCAGUGGUUCUCAGCCCUGGCUGCACAUUGGAAUCACUUGGAAUAUUAAGAUUAACAACAAUUACUAGAAUCUUUGGGAGGGAUCUGAUUGAGUUGGUCAUGGUAGGUUCCUGGCAUCAAUAUUUUUCUAAAAGUUCCCUGAUGUGAUGGGAAUGUUCAGCCAGGGAUGAGAAUGACUGCUAUGGAAUGCUUCAUAGGAAAUGUUAAGCUCAGCCUGUCUGACUUAUCACACAUGUGACUAGGCAAGCUUCACAGAUGGUGAGAUUUUAUUCUAGGACUGUGGGGGCCUUGAUAAGUUCCAGGGGCUUGUGCUCACUCUUAAAAAGGAGGAAUCAACCCUAGGGAAUGAAUAGUCUGGAGACCUAAUUGGAUUUAAAAUGGUUUAGGCUGUGAAAUGGUUUCAACUCUUCAGGAAUAAAACAAAAAUGAGUUCCUACACAUUUGCUAUAAUAGUGGGGAAGAUUCUACUCGUUUACUAGUGACCUCAGGCAAAUUACUUCUCUCCUCUGAAAUUUGGUUUUCCUCGUCUGCAAAAUAAGGAUAGGUGGAUUUGAUGACUUCAGAGAUUUCUUCUAGCUCUAACAAUAUGUGUUUAUUUUGUGAUUAAUAUUAAUGAUCAACAUGAUUAAGGAUAUUAUUAUUAUUUAAAUCUAGCAGGUAAUCCAAAGAUCCAUUUUAGCAGAUUUAGAAUGCACAGGAUGGUUUUAAGGAUAGCAGUUUUAGGUUACUUUUAGAACAAGUGAACUUAGGUUGUGUUCUUUGAGCACACACUGGCUGCCAACCAGAGAAGGAAGUGAUACAGUGAAUUGAGUAGCAAGGGUAUGCCAGUUUGGGAUUAUGUUUAUUAAAGAGAUAUGUCAUAUGGAUAAUUGAGAAUUGCCCCUCAUAGAUAUAGAAGCAGUCUCAUAGGUCUGAAAAAGAUGGAUUGCUUUGAUAGUUCAGAACCCCUUCCUGCAGUAUUUUAAGUAGCCUUUUACUUAGUUAAGUACUUCUUUUAAUAAGAAUUUCAGCAAAUAAAAUUUCCUAUUUAUUUCAUUGGCUUCUUCCUCAAACCUAAAAGUAGUUAAGAAAGUGAGGAUCAUAGAAGUUAAGCAGCUUACUCAAGGUCACACAGGUAGUGGUAGUGAUUAGUGGUAGUGGUAGUUCUAGUGAUCUAGAACCUAGGCAUCUUGAUACCACACCCUGCAGUGCUUCUGGUAUAGCCUACACAGUGGACUCUGUGGUCAGGAUGCAGUCAUGACUCUGAGAAUUAAAGGGAUUUUACUGACAUAGAGCAGUAUUCAGGAGGAAGUUUUGAAGAAAGGAGCAAAAGGGGCAACGUGGAGGAAGAAAAAUGGUUUAGAGAGGGAUGUGUUCAGGCUAGUUUUUAUCUUGCCCUUAUCACUUUUAUGUGCUAGUUCCCUGCCCCUGAUGGGAAUUGGGCAUUUGUCUUUGAGCACCAAGAUUGAGUGUUGGUAGCAGAGAAGAAGGAAAGUUAUACAUGCAUGGCAGAAGAAUAGCAUAUGGAAGGCAGACUUACAAUAGGAGAAAAAACAGGAAAAGGCCUUAGGAACCCUAGGAUUAAGUCCUGGCUCUGUACCUACCUUGCUGCCAGAUCUUGAUCAAGGUUCUUCCCACCUAGGCCUCAGUUUCCAUGUCACUAAAUGAGAGUGUUUUCAGUAGAAGAACCAUGUUCUCAAAUGGAAUUUUAGCUAGAAACUUCUGUAUAAAACAGGAAAAAGCACAGCUGGUCUGGUUAAAAUGGGCAUGGGGCAGGGAUGGAGGACAGAGUCUAAAGUUUCAGGCAACCAUCCCUAUGCAGAUUUUGGUCACUAGGGGAAUUGGAAUUAGAAGAGUGGCGAUGGCUCUGCCAAGCCUAGCCGUAGUGCUUGGGGAGACAAGAGACCCUUGGAUGGAGUUGUGUGAUGGGGGUGGGUCUUUCAUUUAAGGGGCCAGGAUUUGCAGAGAAUCACUUAGGGGCAGAUGUUAAAGUACCUAGUAUGACACACUGCUCCCACUCUUGUUUACAAGUGAGAAAACUAAGGCACAGGUGGGGAAAGGGACAUGUCCAAGGAUGCAGUGAUGGGUCUUGGAUUCUGAUUCUUUUUAGUGGGCUCUUGCCAGCUGUAACUUGCUACCUCCCCUAUAGGUUCCUGGCUCUAUGCUCCCUUGGCUGGAUCAGAGACCUGAAUGCUCUUUCAGGUUUGAUUGGAGAAAGCAAGCUGACUAGACGCUGGGAGAACAAGAGCAUUAUGUAACCUACUGGAGGGGGAGCAGGCCUGUUAGUAGUCCUUAGAGGUCUAAAGAGUAGGAUGGGGGUGAGGGGAACACAGAGUCCCUGACUGCCACAUUAGCUCUCCUGAGGGCCACAUUAGUUCUCCUGAGGCAAAGAGUGGUAGAUGCAGCCCUGUGAGUGGCCAUCUACCCUCAGGGCCCAGAGGAGGCCGGCACUGCACAUCCAUAGCCAGCUCUGGGAAUGGCUUUGGCAGCUGAUUUCUCUGCCUGCCUGCCUUCAUUAGAGAAAGGAAAGCCAUGCACCUCCGUGCCCAGCUGGCUGCAGGAAGGAUGUACUAAAAGCCCACCCUCCACCCCCUCAGAGUGUGGUGCCUAAAGGCAGUAGCUACUUUUAGCUGAACCUCCCACAGCCUCUCCUCCACCCACUUUCUUCUUCCUCCCUAUGUGAAUUGUGCAGGAUGGCAAGAAGGCUGGGCAGUGGGUGCCUUGGCAUUGGGAUAGAGGCAGAGGAGGAGCUAGGCAUCUCUAGGAGGGGCUCUAUUAAUCCCAGUAUGGCAGGAGGGCUCAGAACAAAGGCAAAAUGAUGAGACUGCUUUGUGCUUACGACCCAAAGGGAGUGGAGGGAUUUAUUAAAUUCCUUUGGAGCUUGCAACCAGCCGAGGUGCUUGUCUUGUAAAUUUAGACUGAACUACGUGGGAAGACACACAUUCUGAUUAAGAGGAAAGCAACUGGGGCUAGUGGAUACUUGAUUCUUGACAAUUCCUCUUGAACAGUCUUAUGCUUUUCAAUGUGUUUUGUACAUCGUCUCACUUGAUUUUCUCUAUGGCCCUAUGAAGUCGAUAGGGCAGAGAUUAUCUCCAAUUUACAGAUGAGAAAAAGAAUGCUCAAAGACUUAUUGUCACAUAGCUGCUUCCAGCCUGGUUCUGGAUUUAAGCUCUGGAAGUUAUAGUGCCACUUAAAGUCACUGCAGACAGCUAUGUUUUCUAGAAAAAGGGGUGCUGGAGCUGUCCUGCUUCUAAUCUCCUUAUUGUGGAAGCUGGGGAACUAGGCCCAGAGAAGAAAAGGACUUGCCCCAGGAAAUGUAGUACAUUUGUAGUAGUGCUGAAAUUAGAACAUUGCCUGGCAAGAAUGAAUUCCUGGACCUACAAGAUGUGCAAGCCACUGUGGUCUUUCAAGGGUUGUUUGGGAAACCUGUAUAGUGUAAUGGAAAGCAAAGUAUCACAGAACUAGGAGUUUGUUAUUUUUCAGUUUGGGCAGAAAUCAUCGGUGGGUGACUGCCCCAGUGGAGGCCUGACACUCACUAGGCCCUCUCUAAAGAUUUGGUUGAAUAGAUGUACACAUGAGUAAAAAGGAGGUGUUAAUGUGAAGUCAUUUGCUGUGUGACCUUGGACAAAUCCCAUUGUCUCUGUCCCUCAUUUCUCUCUGUCACCUUGGAGUACUCUUUUUACUUCUCUCACUUGGAAGAAGAAAGGCCCUAUGACCUGGUCCCUGUUUUGGGUGCUUGGUGGAAAGCUGUUUUGUUUUUUGAUUUUUUUUUUUGGUUUGUUUUUAAAUAAGCUUUCUUUUAUUUAUCCCAAGGUCCAUUUCCCAUGCAGUCACACACAUGUUGCUAUGAAUAGCACACUAGCUUUCUCUCUCCUCAUCUCCUACAAAGUUAAAGGAGGAAAUCUGAAGAAAGCCAAAUUAAUUGUGUUUUUAUUUAGCACCUUCUUAAUUUCAUCAAGCCAUAAGCCACCAAGGCUCGUGGUAAUUAAAAAACAAAUCUUAGCCCCUAGGUCCUUGGCUAGGAUUUGUGAUGAGCAUUACUGGGUUUUCAUGAUAUGAUCAAAAAUUGUUUUAGAAAUUGCAGGUUCUUGCCCAAUGAGCUGUGCAGAACAAAUCAACGCUCUUCACCUGUACCUGCAUGACUUUGUUUGGAAACAUCUCACUGCUAUGGGGGCAGGGCAAGAAGAUAAAGACUAUCAUAUAGUCUUCUGCUUCUGACACACAUUCUUUUCUUCAUUAUACUGUGAGGUGGCCAAGGCCAAGAUUAUUCUCCCAAUUUUAUGGCUAAGGAAAUUGAAGCUUGGUGAAUUGCUUUGAUUGACUCAGGUCAGUACUGCAUCUUAAAGGCAGUGGUGUGCUAGGAAGAACAUAGCAUAUAGAGUUAGGUAUUACCAAGUCACCAGUACUAAGUGUCUCUGGGCCAGCAAUUUAUUAAAAUUCCUUCUGUAGUUUGCUUCUAUGUAUUUUGUUGUUUGUUUGUUUGUUUUUUGAGAUAGAGUCUUGCUCUGUCACCCAGGCUGGGUUGCAGUGGUACAGUCUCAGCUCACUGCAACCUCCGGCCCCCAGGUUCAAGCGAUUCUCCUGUAUGCCACCAUGCCCAGCUAAUUUUUUUAUUUCUAGUGGAGAUGGGGUUUUGCCAUGUUGGCCAGAGUGGUCUCGAACUCCUGACCUCAGCCUCCAAAAGUGCUGGCUCUAAGCAUUUUUACAAAAGUUAAUCAAGAUAGAAGAAAGAAGGCAGAUGCUACUGGAUAACUGAAUAGAUUGGCAUUGAACCAUUAAUUGGUACUUCGGUGCAUCUGCUGGAUCUACAGUAAAUUUAUCUGAAUGUCAUAUUGUCCAAGGAUACAUGAGAGGCCUUUUGAAAUGAAGAAAAGUGACCACAGAUUCUGCAGUCUUUUGUGACCUACUCAGUUUGGAUAUUUUCUCUUUGUGGGUCUAUCUGACCAUAUUCUUAAAAGACUGGGCCUUGAGCCUAAAAGCUGUCUCUUCACCAUUACCAGUUUCAAUGUUCAUCACAAAGGAUAGGGAAGAAUGAUUUGGAUAAAUUACAUGCCAUUUUGCCUGGCCUUUGGUGAAGAUUGUAUGCCAUUGAGGCUGUAUGUUUAUUCCUUUUACUCCAGUUGGUUCAGACCACGGGGAGAAUGAGUGUAGAAUGACAGACAAUUGGGAGACAACAACCAAUAGUGUGCUGAGGGUUAGAGGGGGCCUCCCUGGGUUGAGACAUCUGCAGAUGCUAAUCCACAUGCACAUAUCUACACACUGACUCUUUGUGGUGUUGCAGGGAAGGAGCAGAGUUUGUCCAUAAUGCUUAAGCUGAGAAGUGACUGGGUAAGACUGAGAGAAACCCAUGCAUUGAGCUCCUUCCUUCAGUGUACUUCUGGGGAAACUGAGGCCUAAGGAGAGGCAGGAACUUGCCCAAAGUCUCAGAAUUUGUCCUUGAUCUUUGUCCAGUCUCUCUGUUCAGCCAUUGGCUAAUUCACCUUAUAUUUGUGAGGCUCUUUAGAUGAAUGAAGGGUGGCUAAGCCUCUUGGGAAAAGCACCUGUGAUUACCACAUUCAGGAAGUGACAGAGAUGAAAUUUGAACCUAGGUCUUUUGUCCUGCUUAAGAGCAGAUUGACCCAGACUUGAAGGAAAGCUGCUAGAAACAAACUGGUGGGGAAGAAAACUGGUUCAGCUUUGCUGUCUAUCCAUGCUCUAUGCCCAUACCUUCUUCACAUAUACGUGAUAGAUCAUACGUGAUGCACAGUUAUGCAUACUGAGACACGUGGAAUGUAUAUGGGACACACAGAUGGAACAUAUUUUCACAUCAACACACAUGGAGCACAAACAUGAGAGGAAUAUCACACUUGCACAUUCUCAGCAGAGGCAGGGUACACACACAGGAACACACAUGAGGGAUACUUGUACACAUCUGCAUGUGUAAUUAGUGCACAUGGAUAGAUAUAAGGCACAGUUGUGCACCCACAUACAUAUGGGGCAUGCUGAGAUUCACUCUCAGAUAUACUCUUACCCCAGGA